GCGGAAGUGGUGGAAUAGGCAUACACGCAGUCUUGAGGGGGCUGUGCCCAAUGGGCUUGCGGGUUCGAAUCCCGCCUUCCGCA
rnacentral:tRNA from 1 species